UGUCCUGCAUGGUUUGUCUCCCCAGUAACGGCCCAAAGGACUCUGGGAAGGCGUAGGAAUAUGCAGGACGCUCGCCGCGCCGGCCGACGGGCAGCCGGGGGCGGAGCUUACUAUCCGACAUCGUGGAACGGGAUUGGACGUCAUGGCUCAGAGCUGCGCUCCCAUUGGCCACCAGGACAGAGCUGGAGGCCACGCCCCCAGGUGUCCAUGUCGGGAAAACGUUCAGCAGAAUCCCACCUUAGCUGCGGUGAUGUGCAGUUCCCUCAGCUGGGCCUUCAGGUCGGA